rnacentral:rRNA from 1 species
AUUGAACGCUGGCGGCAGGCCUAACACAUGCAAGUCGAGCGGCAGCACGGGUACUUGUACCUGGUGGCGAGCGGCGGACGGGUGAGUAAUGCCUAGGAAUCUGCCUGGUAGUGGGGGAUAACGUUCGGAAACGAACGCUAAUACCGCAUACGUCCUACGGGAGAAAGCAGGGGACCUUCGGGCCUUGCGCUAUCAGAUGAGCCUAGGUCGGAUUAGCUAGUUGGUGAGGUAAUGGCUCACCAAGGCGACGAUCCGUAACUGGUCUGAGAGGAUGAUCAGUCACACUGGAACUGAGACACGGUCCAGACUCCUACGGGAGGCAGCAGUGGGGAAUAUUGGACAAUGGGCGAAAGCCUGAUCCAGCCAUGCCGCGUGUGUGAAGAAGGUCUUCGGAUUGUAAAGCACUUUAAGUUGGGAGGAAGGGCAGUUACCUAAUACGUAAUUGUUUUGACGUUACCGACAGAAUAAGCACCGGCUAACUCUGUGCCAGCCGCCGCUGUAAAAC